rnacentral:lncRNA from 1 species
CCGGAGGUCUGAGUGAAAUAGCACUUUCGGAUUGUACUUUCAGCCACACCACGCUGAGGAAAGUGCAGAAGCUCUGUAUAUGCGUGUGUGAGAGGGAUUCAUGAAAUGCCUAUGACAGUUUGCAUACAAGACUCGGUGACAAAGUAGGAACCACAGGUGAGUCCCCAAGAGAUCUGCUUUGCGGAGAGGAUUUUUCUAGCCCCUAACCACAGAGGAGAAGCAUUCAUCUCUCCAACUGCUCCCCAGAGUUGGCGGUUCCGAUUUGUUUCAACUAAAAAUAACCAAGAAUAGAAAAUGGCAUGCAAUAAAAAGUCCCCAGCCAAGUAGCCGCGUGUGCUGCGCUUCCUCUUAAAUAAGCGCUCCCUCGUGGGCUGAGGUCUCGGUCCUCGGGCGGGAGAAAGGGCUGCAAAGGGUUAAGCCCCUGACCUGCUUGCCAGGCAAAGUUUGAGGAAGAAUAUGUCUGAGGCUGAGUACGCCGCAGCCCCGCGUUUGAAAUCUGUCACCCUCACUUAGGAGCUCCACAUCUCUGGUUGUCACCGGUGAAUAAUGAUCCCACGGCGAUAAGAUCGCUCCGCGGCGUUGCGCCGGAGCCGCCGGGGAGGAAGAGAAGAAAGGAAAUUACGAGGCGUUUAACCGCUUUAGCAGGGUGUUCUUCUGUGUCAUCGGUGGGUGUCAGGGUCAAAUGACCGACUGGACAGCAGCUUGGAAAGAAAAUUUCCUUCUUCCUUUCCCCGAGAGAAACGUUGGGUGAUGGUGGCCAUUGGCAGCUAUGGAAAACAGAGACCUUGGUGGUGAUCCUUAAAAUAAUACCAUGCCGGAGCCCAGCUGUUCUGCCACUUUCUCCCCUUUCAACCUGCCAGACCCGGUGGGCUUUGGGUGACCUAUCGAGGAGGACCCACCUCCGCAGGAGCAGGCAGGCCAGAUCUGGCAGAUAGCUGAUAUGAGGACUUUGCUGACUUCAGAAAGCUGAGUGUAACACCAACAGACUUCAGUGAAAGGAGAUAUUAUCCCUCCAAGCAACUCAUACACAGAAAACUUUUGGUAGCUUUAAAUUAACCUGUUGCUCACCUGCAAAGAUAAGGCUAUUGUUUCUUUCAGCACACAUGGAGGAAGGCAACAAACUUUGUAACCCUGGCUAAUAAGACUGUGGCUUUCUUAUCAAAAGUAGGAGGUAGGCCAAUUAUAAAAGGAUUAUUUUAUACUUAACCUCCAGGACUUUAACUCUGAACACUGGACAUAAAUAGAAGCCAAUUUUAAUGACCUGAGAUUUUUGCUACCCGUGCUUUAUUAUUGUUAUCAGUUCUUUACCACUUUGGUAC